rnacentral:tRNA from 3 species
GGCAAGAUGGCCGAGUGGUCUAAGGCGCUGCGUUUAGGCCGCAGUCUUCACGGGCGUGGGUUCGAAUCCCACUCUUGUCA